CCUUUCUCUGGAGGAUCUCCGCGCGUGGCGAGUCUGUGUCCUCCCUGUCCCCCAGAGCAGACACCCUCUCUGUGUCUGGACCGGGGAGGAGCAGACGCUGGACAGGUUUCUGGUAGAAUGCUGGCAAUUUCCAGGAAGAUACGUGGAGAACGGAAAGGUUGCUACACCCAAAUAGUGAAGCAAAGGCUAUGAUUAUGGAGGAUUGGACCUGCAAACUCCAGAACAGAGUUCUGCCCUCUGAGGACCCUGCCCUUUCCCAAAAGGGGUAUCUUAAGAAGGAAAAUAUGGCUGCUCUUUGCCGGACAGCAGAGUCCCAGAACCCCAUGCAGGUGUUUCAGGGCUUUAUGUCAUUCAAGGAUGUGGCUGUGAACUUCACUAGGAAGAAUGGAGAGAACUGGACCUUGCUCAGAGAGUCUUGUACAGGGAUGUAAUGCUGGAGAACUAUAGGAACCUGGUCUCCUUGGGAUUUCCAUUUUCCAAACCUGGUAUCAUCUCCUAGUUGGAAGAAGUGGUAAGCCCACGAACACAAAUGCAGGAGGGAGAGGUGCCAAGAAGCAGCGGUACACG
rnacentral:lncRNA from 1 species